rnacentral:rRNA from 1 species
AGUGAACGCUGGCGGCAGGCCUAACACAUGCAAGUCGAGCGGCAGCGCGGGGCAACCCUGGCGGCGAGCGGCGGACGGGUGAGGAAUACAUCGGAAUCUACCCAGUCGUGGGGGAUAACGUAGGGAAACUUACGCUAAUACCGCAUACGACCUGAGGGUGAAAGCAGGGGACCGCAAGGCCUUGCGCGAUUGGAUGAGCCGAUGUCCGAUUAGCUAGUUGGUGAGGUAAAGGCUCACCAAGGCGACGAUCGGUAGCUGGUCUGAGAGGAUGAUCAGCCACACUGGAACUGAGACACGGUCCAGACUCCUACGGGAGGCAGCAGUGGGGAAUAUUGGACAAUGGGCGCAAGCCUGAUCCAGCCAUGCCGCGUGUGUGAAGAAGGCCUCGGGUUGUAAAGCACUUUUGUUGGGGAAGAAAUCUUCCGACCUAAUACGUCGGGAGGCUGACGGUACCCAAAAGAAUAAGCACCGGCUAACUUCGUGCCAGCAGCCGCGGUAAUACGAAGGGUGCAAGCGUUACUCGGAAUUACUGGGCGUAAAAGCGUGCGUAGGUGGUUCGUUAAGUCUGCCGUGAAAGCCCCGGCCACGGGAACUGGCGGUGGAUACUGGCGGACUAGAGUGCGGUAGAGGGUGGUGGAAUUCCCGGUGUAGCAGUGAAAUGCGUAGAGAUCGGGAGGAACAUCUGUGGCGAAGGCGGCCACUGGACCAGCACUGACACUGAGGCAC